UUGUCUCCUGGUAUUUGUUGUCUUUGUUGUGCUGUUAGUCUGUGUGAAUUACUAGAUUUUUAACCAGUGUAUAAUUUUUCAGAUGCUUUGUGGGUAUAAACCCAGAAAAAGGAACAAAGGCUGCAAAGGGGAAGAAAAGAAGAACCGUCAAUUCACACGUCGCCAGCCUCUUGCGCAAGCUCAUGGACUUUCAGUGGGAUUUCAUUUGAAAAUGACCCCCAAGACUUUGCAAAGGAUCCUCAUUGUGUGCUUUGAGAAAAUGGUUAGUGUUCUAAGCAGUAACAGUGUUUUUAUUGUUUAUUGCUCUUUAUUGAUGUAGAGUUCCAUUAAGUGUUAAAUAUUGGUUUGAAUGUAUUCACACAUGUUGAAUUUUAGUGGUUUAGGUAACACUAAGUGUUGAGGUUCAGUAUUUUGUUAUAAUGAACAAUGUAUUUGGGUUUAAAAAUGUAUUUGCUACUUGUUAAGCCAUGAACAUAAGAAAAUGAGAUUUGUUUGUGAUUAAUCUGAGCCUAUGUGUAACAUUUUUAUGUGACCAGGAGUCACAGUGUAUAUCCUUGGUUUGAGUCUUUUUAGCUGAAUUUUAGCAGCAGUUCAGGGAACAUUAAAUGUUGAGGUUUAGGGCCCUAUCUUGCACCGACGCAGCGCAGAGCCAAACGCAAGUGUCUUUGCUAGUUUAAGACAGACACAGUUGUUAUUUUCCGUCCAGCGACCACAGAUGUCAGCAAUGAACAUGAUAUCUGUGAUUGGUCUGAUCCAUGUGUGCCUACAUUUGUAUGUAUUUACCUUUCAGUGUUUGUAUUACAAUAAAAAAAAGUUAAUUUCAA